GACGAACGCUGGCGGCACGCCUAACACAUGCAAGUCGAACGGAGUUAUUAGAGCUUGCUUUGAUAACUUAGUGGCGGACGGGUGAGUAACACGUGAGCAACCUACCUCUAAGCGAGGGAUAGCUUCUGGAAACGGAUGGUAAUACCUCAUAACAUAGUGAUAUCGCAUGGUAACACUAUCAAAGAUUUANCGUUUAGAGAUGGGCCCGCGUCUGAUUAGAUAGUUGGUGAGGUAACGGCUCACCAAGUCGACGAUCAGUAGCCGGACUGAGAGGUUGAACGGCCACAUUGGGACUGAGACACGGCCCAGACUCCUACGGGAGGCAGCAGUGGGGAAUAUUGCACAAUGGGGGAAACCCUGAUGCAGCGACGCCGCGUGAGCGAAGAAGUAUUUCGGUAUGUAAAGCUCUAUCAGCAGGGAAGAAAAUGACGGUACCUGACUAAGAAGCCCCGGCUAACUACGUG
rnacentral:rRNA from 1 species